rnacentral:misc_RNA from 1 species
UUAUAUGUAGUACAUGUAAUCUAAAAUAUAAUACAUAUAUAGUUUUCUAUGUUUAUGCUUAUUUGGAUGUAUCCGGUAUAUCACUCAACAGCUCGGCCGUACAAUUGAUUUAUGCUAUAAUCAGUAUAAUGCAAUAUAAUUUGUCACAGCAUGGCGAAACAGUCUUCCAGCUGAGGAGCUCCGCACCUAUACAAGAUUCUACAAUGGCGAGGGUCUCUAUAAAAACUGAGGGCGUGCUGCAGCGAUGUCCUAAGCAGGUUGUGGACCAAGGCCAAUGGCUACUUAAUUUGUACUUGAAGCUGCCUAUGUUGCGUCGACUGAUGCACAUCAACGGAGUCGCUAGAGCUGUUUCAGGUGUCGCCGAAUAUCUUGCACAUGUAGAACGCGUGAGUGAAUCAGUAUAUAAUUGUGGAUAUAUUUUUAAAUACAUAUUCCUUCACAGCGGACUCUUAUACCCUACGUUUUGCCACAAGCCGAGUCGUAUCCGAUUUCCCCCCGCCAGACGGAGUCCUAUCCAAACAUUACCGAGGCGUAUUCGAGACAGACCGAGUCCCAUCCCAGCCAGACUGAAUUGUGUUCCAGCAGGACAGAAGCGCACCCCUUACCCGAUUUGAACCCGGCCAUUUGACGCGAGUUUUUUUUGUACGGUGGCGCCCCAAUCGGCCCGUGCGACGGCUUCCUGUGAUCGGAAAAAUAUCCCUGAUUUGCUGGAGUCCUUAUCAAGGACCAAGGAACAAGGAAAUGUACUCCAGGCGUAUAAAUAUUGUUCUUGCCGUUAUUUUAGGCUCGAUCGGGACCUGCCAGGAACCCACGUGCUCAGAUAAAUAUCCUUGAUCCUUCGGUAAGGACAUCAACCGCCCCAACCAUACAUAUUUAUUUUUCCCGGCUUUUUGUGGCCCGAUCGGGACAUGCGUCAUCUUACUGUGUUUGGAACAGCACCCUUGAUCUAAUGCAGUCCGUAUCAAGGACCAAGGAUCAAGGAUAUUGUCCCCAGACCUAUAUAUCUUGUUUUCUCCUUUAUUUGUGGCCUGAUCGGGGAGUGCCACGGCUUCCCGUGAUCAGAUAUAUGUCCUUGAUUCUUUGAUAAGGACCUCAGCCAUACAUAUUUAGAUCUCGGCUAUUUGUGGACCGAUCUGGGCGUGCGAUGGCUUCCUGUGAUCGGAAAAGUG